rnacentral:lncRNA from 1 species
GAAAAAUUCAUGAGCAAUCAAGACAUCCGAAACAUCCAUCAUACAAAAAGUCAGAAGCAUUAGAGGUCAUUUGGCAUGGAAAUCAAAUGGCAUAAGUUAGACAACCAAAUGUGUGACACAAAUUGUCACACCAUGCAAACAUGUCCAUAAAACAGCAAUGGUAAAUGGAAAAAAUUCCAAACCAAGCCUAAAACAUCCACUAACAUGUCUAGAAUCAGCAUGUAAAAUUU